rnacentral:rRNA from 1 species
UACGGAGGGUGCAAGCGUUGCUCGGAAUUAUUGGGCGUAAAGGGUAGGUAGGUGGUCUCAUUUGUCUGGGGUGAAAGCCUUGAGCUUAACUCAAGAAGUGCCCUAGAAACGGUGAGACUAGAGUCCUGGAGAGGGUCGUGGAAUUCCCGGUGUAGCGGUGAAAUGCGUAGAGAUCGGGAGGAACACCAGAGGCGAAGGCGGCGACCUGGACAGGUACUGACACUCAACUACGAAAGCGUGGGAGCAAACAGG